GUCGACGCUGAUGAAUAUCAUCGGCUGCCUGGACCAGCCGAGCGAGGGGAGCGUGCACAUCAACGAUGUGGCGAUUCAUCGCGCCGACG
rnacentral:tRNA from 2 species